GUGGAAUGGUACACGUUCCUUAUUACGUAUUACUUGUCAACGAUUCUGUAUAGUUGCGAAUUUCGUUUGACCAGUAGUAACGCUCAUAAAUACAUAACUUAUUCUUCAAUCAAGCAAUUAUACUUUCAUGUACUGCACAUAAAUAGCAGGCCUUCUUUUGGGCAAAUUCAGGAGCGGUAUCCUGAGUUUCUUGUAUAUCUCCUUUAAUUUUAGGAGGAAGCAACGGAUUAUUAUCAGUCAAUAUAGACAUCUUGAGAUCUGAACAGUUUCUAUUUUCCCUAUUGGAAAAAAAAAAAAAAAAAAAAAAAAAAACUAUUGUUUCAGUCCCAUCUGGUUCCUCUUUUCCCAUGGAGCCAUUAGUUCUAACCAAGUUCGACUCGACACCUAUGCUUCAAAAUUAAUUUUUGAAAUGUUAACCAUUGGGUUAGCUUUCUUAUUCCUUUCAUUCUUACGGUUUAUUUUUCCAUGAUUUUGCUACUUGUAUAUAAAAAUGGUACAUAAACGGUUACCGAAAAUAAUGUAACGAGAAAAUAUUGGCUAAAAAAGUUAAUUGUAUUUUAAACUGAUAAAUGGUAAAGUGACGUGUAAACAUUAUAUAAUCUCUUAUGUAAACCUUGAUGUAC
rnacentral:lncRNA from 1 species